AUUGAACGCUGGCGGCAGGCUUAACACAUGCAAGUCGAACGAGUGGCGGACGGGUGAGUAAUGCUUGGGAAUCUGGCUUAUGGAGGGGGAUAACUACGGGAAACUGUAGCUAAUACCGCGUACCAUAAGAUGAGCCCAAGGGGGAUUAGGUAGUUGGUGGGGUAAAGGCUCACCAAGCCGACGAUCCCUAGCUGGUCUGAGAGGAUGACCAGCCACACUGGAACUGAGACACGGCCCAGACUCCUACGGGAGGCAGCAGUGGGGAAUAUUGCGCAAUGGGCGCAACCUGAUGCAGCCAUGCCGCGUGAGUGAAGAAGGCCUUCGGGUUGUAAAGUUCUUUCGGUAGCGAGGCGUUAAUUACAGAAGAAGCACCGGCUAACUCCGUGCCAGCAGCCGCGGUAAUUC
rnacentral:rRNA from 1 species